CGUAAAGAACUUGCCUCACAGCUAGGGAUAACAUUUAGAAAUGAAUGCUAAUACCUGAUAUUAUGAUUUUAAGGCAUCUUAGAAUUAUGAAAGCUAUAAGCACUGUGAGAGAGCUUUGCGUCCCAUUAGCUAGUUGGAGAGGUAACAGCUCACCAAGGCGAUGAUGGGUAGCCGGCCUGAGAGGGUGAACGGCCACAAGGGGACUGAGACAUGGCCCUU
rnacentral:rRNA from 1 species